CUGAAGAUUCUCUCCUCUUCCCCUCUUUUUUUUCACAUGCAUCUCUCAUCUGUCUCACCUGGAGCUGCCAGCUCACGUUCAAUUUCCCACCAGUCCAGUUGUGUUAAGGAAUCAGUGGCUUGAUCAGCUUCAUUUUAGAAGCUUUCUGAGAUGGUGGGGUGUUUUUCCUUCUUUCCCAUGCUUUUGGAACCCUGCCAAAGCAAAUGAAGUUUGGGCCUUAGAUGCAAAGAAUUGCAGCCAUCAUCCUGAGGAGCUCAUGGCAUGCACCUGUUCAUGGUCUCUCACUUGGGUUAGUUUAUUAUAGUCUUUCUCCCCUUCAUGCCCAUCUGUACACCUAUUGUCUCCUUCAUGUAUAGUAAACAUGCAUCCUAAUGUGUUGACAAUAUGUCAUUGAAAUGUAUGAUGUUUAACAGUUUUUUUAAUGUUUAUUUAUUUUUGAGAGAGAGAAACAGAGACAGAGAGUGAACAGGGGAGGGGCAGAGAGACAGGGAGACACAGAUUCUGAGGCAGGCUCCAGG
rnacentral:lncRNA from 1 species